UACGUAGGGUGCAAGCGUUGUCCGGAAUUAUUGGGCGUAAAGGGCGCGUAGGCGGUGCGGUAAGUCUGUAGUGAAAUCUCUGGGCUCAACUCAGAGUCUGCUGCAGAAACUGCCGUGCUUGAGUGUGGGAGAGGUGAGUGGAAUUCCCGGUGUAGCGGUGAAAUGCGUAGAUAUCAGGAGGAACACCGAUGGCGAAGGCAGGUCUCUGGGCAUUAACUGACGCUGAGGAGCGAAAGCAUGGGGAGCGAACAGG
rnacentral:rRNA from 1 species